AACUAUUCAUUUUGUUCUAAAAAGUCAGCCUUUCGCAUGCUUAAUUAAUGCCUUUACCUAAUUUGCAUAUUGCUGACAUAUGCAAAUUAGGCAAAUGCAUUAAUUAAGCAUGCAAAUAGCUGAUUUUUCGGGAAAAUUGUAAUUUUGCGUGAAUAGUUAAGGGGCUUAAACUAAACCAAAUUGUCUGAAAUUUUGUACAGUAAUUAAAAACCCGACAAAUUUUCCAUCUGUUAACUCAAAAUAUGAUUGCAGCUUUUAAAUUUUGUGCGCGAGCCAUUUUUAGUUUGUUGGUAAAGACACACCCCCCUGGUUCACAAAAUUUGAGUUCGAGAAAUUUUUCUCAUUAUUCUACAUUAUAAGUACCCAAAGAGGCUAUAUAUA